UUAAAUUCAUUAAAUAUUUUGAAUUUGGAUUAAAGAAAAAGAAUUGGAGAUAAAAAUUANNNNNNNNNNNNNNNAAUUGAUGAAAAGCUUCUCUGAGAAUAAAGCUUAGCUCUUUACAAGCAAUUGGGUAUCUGUAGAUUUUUGAUAGAGACUCUGUUAGGUCAAGUUUUUGGUAUCUCUCUAAUGGGGUUGACAUUGUUUGUUCUCAAUUGAAGACAAAGGAUCAAACAACAACGUUGGUAUUGUUGAGAAACAUUAUUGGAGAGAAUGAUGGAUGUGUCGGAUUUGAUUUGAAACCUAGUCUUUAACCUUUCAAUUUUUUUUCACCUAAC
rnacentral:lncRNA from 1 species